rnacentral:tRNA from 1 species
GUGGCCUUGGCGAAAUUGGUAAACGCGUACGUUUGAGGGGCGUAUGGUUCAGUCCUUGUGAGUUCAAGUCUCAUAGGCCACACCA